GACAGAGGGUGCAAACGUUGUUCGGAAUUACUGGGCGUAAAGCGCGUGUAGGCGGCUCGGCAAGUCGGGUGUGAAAGCCCCGGGCUCAACCUGGGAAUUGCAUUCGAGACUGCGUAGCUAGGGUGCGGAAGAGGGAAGCGGAAUUUCCGGUGUAGCGGUGAAAUGCGUAGAUAUCGGAAGGAACACCAGUGGCGAAAGCGGCUUCCUGGUCCAGCACCGACGUUCAGGCACGAAAGCGUGGGGAGCAAACAGG
rnacentral:rRNA from 1 species